CACUGAGAAGCUAAAACGGGAUUAAGCACUAGCCUUUUAAGCUAGAAUCUGGUGACCCCCAAUCACCCUUAGUGG
rnacentral:tRNA from 1 species